rnacentral:misc_RNA from 1 species
GAUGAAGAACGCAGCGAAAUGCGAUAAGUAAUGUGAAUUGCAGAAUUCAGUGAAUCAUCGAAUCUUUGAACGCACAUUGCGCCCGCCAGUAUUCUGGCGGGCAUGCCUGUCUGAGCGUCAUUUCAACCCUCAUGCCCCUAGGGCGUGGUGUUGGGGAUCGGCCAAAGCCCGCGAGGGACGGCCGGCCCCUAAAUCUAGUGGCGGACCCGUCGUGGCCUCCUCUGCGAAGUAGUGAUAUUCCGCAUCGGAGAGCGAUGAGCCCCUGCCGUUAAACCCCCAACUUUCCAAGGUUGACCUCAGAUCAGGUAGGAAUACCCGCUGAACUUAAGCAUAUCAAUACGCGGAGGA